UACGGAGGGUGCGAGCGUUGUCCGGAAUCACUGGGCGUAAAGGGCGCGUAGGCGGCCUGAUAAGUAGGGGGUGAAAUCCUGCGGCUUAACCGCAGGGCUGCCUUCUAAACUGUCAGGCUAGAGCACAGUAGAGGCAGGUGGAAUUCCCGGUGUAGCGGUGGAAUGCGUAGAGAUCGGGAAGAACAUCAGUGGCGAAGGCGGCCUGCUGGGCUGUUGCUGACGCUGAGGCACGACAGCGUGGGGAGCAAACAGG
rnacentral:rRNA from 1 species